AUCGCACCUCCUGAGCAUUAAGCC
rnacentral:siRNA from 1 species